AGCAACCUGCUCCAGUGGAAAGUGUCCCUGCCCGUGGCAGGGGUUGGAACUGGGGGAGCUUUAAGGUCCCUUUAACCCAAACCUGUCUGGGAUUCUACAAGUGAAAGGUGGAAGAGUUCC